rnacentral:rRNA from 1 species
UACGUAGGGGGCAAGCGUUGUCCGGAUUUAUUGGGCGUAAAGAGCUCGUAGGCGGCUCAGUAAGUCAGGUGUGAAAACUCCAGGCUCAACCUGGAGACGCCACUUGAUACUGCUGUGGCUAGAGUCCGGUAGGGGAGCAUGGAAUUCCUGGUGUAGCGGUGAAAUGCGCAGAUAUCAGGAGGAACACCAGUGGCGAAGGCGGUGCUCUGGGCCGGAACUGACGCUGAGGAGCGAAAGCGUGGGGAGCAAACAGG